UUCAGAGGUGCGAUUGUGUAAAGUUGUUCAUGGAUGGACAAUGAAUACAAUUGAUCAUCGAUCGUAUAUCUAAAUUCGAAUUGUGUAAUUUUGUCCAUUCCAUGAAGACCGAAAAGUGACCGGUCGUAUAUAAUCGUUUCAUGGAUUUGCGUUUUAUUAAUGAAAAACAUUCGCUAAAACUCAUUAUUUUUUAACAAAUAACAAAUGAAAUCCAUGUUCAAAUGCAGUUUUUUUUAAUAAAAUUUUAUGAUUGCACCUUAAUAACAUACUUUUAUUCAUAAAAACAUUGAAUUCGAAUUAAAAAUUUACCUCUGCAAAUCAUAUAACCAAACGCAUAGAACGAAUGAAAUACGAGUUCCACUACCCGCCCCCAGGUGGCAUACAUACUUUAAGGCUAGGCAGGCUAAGUUGAAUACUACUCUACAAUAGGUGGCGUUAAUGGACUACGAAAAACGACGUGAAAUGCUUACUUCUUUUUAUUUAUUUAUACUUUAAUGCCAAAAUUUUAACCUAAGGCGAACUUAAUCUCACAUUUAAUAAAUUAAACAUAAAUAAGUGUUUUGAGAAGUAGUAUUUUAAUCUAUGUUCUGUGAAUGACAAGUGUUAUCUGUCAAGUGUCAAAAAACUUGAAAAACUUUUACGAAGUUUUUGAAUUAUGUUAAAUUUGUUUAUAAACACAAUGCCAAAGGCAAGAAUAAUUGCCCACGCCAGAUGGAGACCCAGCUAAAUAAUGUAGUAACAGCGCGUGGUCGUGUGAUGAGGGUUCCUUGACUUGAGUUCUGGCGCAACACGUCCUGGGCACUAAACAAGAUUGGGGAUGGGACGUCUAAAGAGGUGCAAGCCUGGAAAACGCUCUCGUCUUGCUCUACAGCACUUGCACUUGUCCCACCAUCAACCAGUGUUGGAACUCUUCGAAGUGUAUUAAUGAUUAUUAUUUUAGUAACCAUAAAAGUUUAAAACAAUACAUUUUAUUGCAUAAUUAUUUGUUAGAAAAAACGACAAGUACAAAUGAGUAGGGAGGCUGUUGAUUUUUCAUGGUUAUUUUAUAUCUUGUUGAUUGUUCCAAAAAAAAACUAAGUUUUCAAGAAUGCUGUGAUUAAAGUACCUAUAGUAUUAUAUUUAAAAUAAAAACUUAGUUUGUAAAGAGACGAAGGCUGACCACAAAAGAAGUACUUAUAGCUGUCUGUGUCUGUGUAAAGAAUUUAAAUAAAAAGAUGUGUAUAUUUAAACAGUUUUCUUUAUUUUAUUAGUCAUUUAUUCCUGUAAAUAAGCCCACACAGGGCACUUUUACAUGUCCCAACAUAACUUUACCCUACCACUUUGGCAGUAUUGUGGGUUAAGGCUGAUUAAAACGUGUUAAGUAGGUACCUACCUAACUACUUUAUUGACUUAAUUUUAAGUAAUUAAUUGCGUAGUAGUAUAGUACAAAACUUAUUGUUGAUGAAAAAGAACUCUUGUGUCUCACUAAAACUUAUUUCCAUUAACACCAAGCACUCACCGCUUACCACACUUUAUCUUUCAAAGAAAUAAAUUAACAAUUUGCAUACGAGGACGAGGAUAGAAUUACACCUCUAUGAGAAUUUAUACGAUUAUCAUGAGUUACGAGUCACCGCAAUCAUUUGACAUUAGCAAUGGGCUCAUGAAACUUAGACAAUUCGAAUUUUCUGUCAAAAUCAUAUUCAUCAUUCACUCAUCGUAUAAAAUUACGAUCAAAUCGUUAUCAUAUCGUUAUCGUUUUAUGAACUCCUUACACAAUUAGAAUUAGCCGUUUGACACAUCAUAACGUACGUUAUGAACUGUCAAAUGAAUACGAUUGCCUUAGACAAUCGCCCC